UAAUCCCGUAUCCAAAUACUUGCCCAGAGAGACCCCUUCACAUAAAAAAUCUACUCUUUCUCCGUCCCUCUCUCGACCGCCUUAAUCUUUUCUUCCCUGCAAUUCAUUAGUUUUUAUCUCCGCAGUUGUUAAUGCCAAACCUACCCUCUGUUUCUCUUACCCAAAUGCCUCUCUCGCCGGAACCCUACCGUUCCGGUGGUUGCCGGCUGAAUUCUAGAUAGCAUUCGAGGAUUUUUUGCGGGGGUUUUGGAUUUCUUUAUUCGAUUCGGUGCUGCCUGUUUGGGAGUGCACGUUGUGAAAGAAUUUUGUGUUCUUCGGGUUGUUUGUCUUUCUGUGAUCAGCGCGCCUAUGGCUCCGGGGCGUAAAAAAGGAGCGAACAAGGCCAAGGGAAAUAGUAAGUUAAUUUUGGGCGAUCUCGUUCUCGCUAAGGUCAAGGGACACCCCUACUGGCCGGCUAAGAUAAGCCGACCCGAAGACUGGGAUAAACCUCUCGACCCAAAGAAAUAUUUUGUUCAGUUUUUUGGAACCGAAGAAAUUGCUUUUGUUAGCCCCACCGAUAUUCAGGCAUUCACUAGCGAGGCAAAGAGUAAAUUGAUUGCUCGGUGUCAAGGUAAACCCAGGUUCUUUGCCCAAGCAGUGAAGGAGAUCUGUGCUGCAUUUGAAGAGUUGCAUAAAGAGAAACCAAGCGCUUUGAGAGGCGAUACUGAUAGAUCUGCUUCAGGUUAUGAGGCUUCCUCUAUUAAUAGGAUAGAAGAUGAUGGUAUAGAGAUCGACAUAAAAGAUGAAACACGUUCAGUGAGACAUGGAGGAGACGUUGGAACUAAGUUGGAGCACAACUCUUGCCGACAAGGUGAACCUGAGAGUGAAGACGAAAAGCUGACUAUUCCAUGUCCUGCAAAGGACAUUGUAUCUCCAAUUACAUCUUCUGGAAAUGAAGAUAAUGUAUCAAAUGAUGCACAAGCAGCAGAGGAAUCAUCGUCCAUGUCUAGCUGGGACAAUCCUUCCAAAGUAAAGGAUGAGACGACUGGUGAUCUGAAUGAUGUUAAAAGUAUUCAGCAGCCUGAUAAUGGGCGACGGACAGUGGUAAAUGGUCACAAGUCAAAGAAGUUGGUAGGUUUUUCCAAAAGGGGAACUGAGGGUGGACAAAAACGUAGUAGCUCGAAGGAAACUUCAUUAAAAGCCAAUAGUUCUGUUAGGCGCAUGAAGGAUUGUUCCCCGGAUGCUGUCAAAUCAAAUUCUGAUAUCACUGGCAUUAAGAAAGUAAGAGACCUGGCGAAGGCCAGAAAAAGUUCCGAGGUAUCAGAUGAAAUUCAAAAAAAUGUUGGUUUAAAGAAUGAGUUCUCGGAGAAGAAAAAGAGAGCACAAUAUGGACUUGGAAAAUCAGUGCAGGGAGAUAAUGAAGUUCUUCAUUCAAACAAAAGGGCUAAGCGGAUUGAUGGGACUAAGGGUUCUCACCAGAAAACCAUGGAGAGAGAUUCAGCAAGUUCUAAGCCUGCUGCACUACAAGAAUCAGAGUUGAAAAGAUCUGCAUCUCGAAUUAAAUCAGAAGAUCAUUCCCGAAAAGGUAAAACUGGAUCUGAUGAUUCUGGUGAUGAAACCGUGCUUCCACUGACAAAGCGUCGAAGACGUGCCUUUGAGGCCAUGUCUGAUUCUGCCACUAUGAAAUCCGAAGAUCCAGUGGACAAAAGUUCUCUGGAGAUGAAGAAUUCUAGUGGCAAUAAAAUUCUGCUUCCUCAACCUCCUAGAAGGAGGAGAGCAGUACGCAUUGAGGAAGAUGAUGAUGAUAACCCCAAAACUCCAGUUCACGGGGGAUUGGGCGGAAAUUUUAAAGCACCUCCAUCUGUUCGUGAAACUUCAAGAAGUGCUGACACACAUUAUGAGAGUUCCCUUAACGCUGAGCAGAGUGCUAAGGAUCCCACGGGUCUUAGGCUCAUUGCUUCUCUGUCACUGGACCGAUUAGAGAGACCUGGUACUCGUGAUUUUCUUAGUCCGGUAAAAUCAGAACCUGAGAAUUCAUCGUCCGAGGAGGUCAAAACAAUCUUGAGUUCUCCCAAGCCAAAACCAGUCUUGAUUUCCCCUAUGAAGUCUCCUAACUUGUUUCCUGGUACCAAACCAAUUGUUCAGCAGCAUAAAACUAUUAAACCUGUGGUCAAAGUUGCUGGUACUGGUGGUCAGAAAAAGGUCUCGGCUGUGUCUAGUAAGAGUUUGGGAGUGAUUUCUGAUCCUGUGAACACUAGCCAAAAUGAGGUAGCAAGUCAAAAAAACAGGCAAACUUCUUCUGGAGAAAGACCAAGAACCUUCCCAAAAGUGGUUUCACGGUUGAGUGAGCCUACUGUUGUAACUGAAGCCUCAAACGGGUAUCAUUCAUCUUCUGAAAUAUUAGAAGCUGUUCAUGAAGAUAAAAUUAGUUCAUUGAUCGACUCGAAGACUGCAGACUCUGUUACUUCCAUGAAGAAUCUUAUAGCUGCAGCUCAGGCAAAAAGGAAACAAGCUCACUCGCAACAAUUUUCUCUUGCAAAUUCUUCUUCUUUUUCCCCUUCCACUGAUACCCCCUCUAGACUUCAGCCUUUUUCCUCCGGCACCAGCGUACAUGCUGAAUUACAGGUAUCUCAAACUAAUUUUACUUCACCAUCAACUCAUAGCCAUCAGUCAGCAUCACGAAAUGAACCUGAUAAUGAAGAAGUUGAGGAGAGGAGAGUUAGUUCAGGAUAUAGGGCUGCUGGAGGCUCAUUGAGUGGUGGUACUGAGGCAGCUGUGGCCCGUGACUCUUUCGAAGGGAUGAUAGAAACUUUGUCAAGGACUAAAGAAAGUAUUGGAAGAGCAACUCGUCAUGCCAUUGAUUGUGCCAAGUACGGUAUUGCAAAUGAGGUUGUGGAACUUCUCAUCCGGAAGUUGGAGAGUGAGCCUAGUCUUCAUCGUAAAGUUGACCUCUUCUUUCUUGUGGAUUCAAUCACCCAGUGUUCCCAUAAAGAUAAAGGUAUUGCUGGUGCUUCUUACAUCCCUACAGUUCAAGCGGCACUGCCCCGGCUUCUGGGUGCUGCUGCUCCUCCUGGACCUGGUGCUCGUGAAAAUCGCCGUCAGUGUAUGAAGGUUUUGCGUUUGUGGCUUGAGAGGAAAAUCCUCCCUGAAUCUGUAUUGCGUCGCUAUAUGGAUGAUAUUGGGGUUUCAAAUGAAGAAACGGGUUCUGGGUUUUCCCUUCGUCGACCAUCUCGAGCUGAGCGUGCUGUGGAUGAUCCCAUUAGAGAAAUGGAGGGCAUGCUUGUUGAUGAGUAUGGCAGUAAUGCUACAUUUCAAUUGCCUGGCGGCUUUUUAUGUCCUCGUGUAUUUGAAGAUGAUGAAGACGAUUUUCCAAGCAAUUUCCACAGGGAAGCAGGUGAUUUAUCACUAGAUGAACUACCUUCUGUGAUUGGAGAAUCAGAAACUUGUGCUAUUACUUCAAAUGACAAGCGUCAUUGCAUCUUAGAGGACGUGGAUGGUGAGCUAGAAAUGGAGGAUGUUUCUGGACACUCAAAGGAUGAUGGACCUUUGUUUGCAAGCUGUGCUUCCGAAUUGGGUUCACAGCGUAUGGGCUUAGAUAGGAUAAUGGAGUCAGCUUCAACUAAUUCCAGCGAGUUGGCCCCCUUACCAGAGGGUUCGCCACCAUUACCACCGGACUCUCCUCCUCUGCCCCCACCUUUGCCUCCUUCCCCACCUCCCCCACCCACUAUUCAUCCACCACCACCACCCCCAUCCCCAUCCCCAUCAUCUCCAUCACCCCCACCCCCACCCCCACCACUCCCCACUCUUCCAUCACAGCCACCCCCUCCAGGAGCAACUUCAGGUUGUCCGCCACCACCAUCAGGGCCUCCAUUUGCGGUUAUACCUCAGCCAUCAGUACCAACUCAGCCUGCAUUGCUGGCCCAACCAUUGUUACCCCCUCAAGCACCGCUUCGGUCAUCACCACAGCUGGCAUAUCAAGCACCUAUUCCUCACAAGUUUUGUACUUCUGGAGGUGACCAAAUUGCCCCAGUUUCUGGAAAUGGAACACAGCAGUCAUCUUGCUUUGUGCCAACGGGGGUUUGCAGUUCUCGAGAACUUUCUGGAUUUAAUUCUUCAAGGUCAAUGGAUUAUGGACAUAAUGACAUGUAUUUAAAUGCUCAGGCGCCUCAACCAAGUCAGCAGUUUCAACCAAGUACUACAUCUUUUGUGCAAAGACCUUUGCAUCCAAGCAUACCGCAAGUUUCAUCCAACCAUUUCUCUUAUCCAAAUCCUGCAAAUCUGCAACCUCCUCAGCAUUCUUAUCCCCUUCCAUAUCCUUUACCAUCUCAUCCUGAUGGGCACAGACGAUUUGUCCCUUCUGAUGAACAGUGGAGGAUGGUGUCAAGUGAAUUUACUGCAGAGAAUUCACGAGGGAUGUUGAUGGGUGGAAGGAGAACUCCAUCUAAUCCGGGCCCCUCUUAUGUCCAUGAAGGUUACUUUCGACCACCCCUGGAAAGGCCAUCUGCAAAUAACUUGAGCUUUCAGCAUCCUGUUCCUAACAACUUACAAGCUGGUGCUCCAAGCCCAGGGCUUGGUGUUUCGCAAAUUUUGCCAUGUGGACCGGACAUGCCUGCCCUUAACUGUUGGCGACCAACCUAAGAAUGUGUCCGAAGCCUACAACUCACUUCUGUGGUUAGUGUGAAAGGUUAUGGAUAGGCAUUGUAAUAUCUCCUCCUUAGAUGGUCCUUGUCAUGGACAAAUUCUAGCAGCCACUUGAAGCAAAGCUAGAGAACUUGUGGAGACUCUUGGCAGGACUCUGUAUAUUGUAUUUUUUCCUGACAAAUGUAUCCAUCAAACGUUUGCUUCGAAGUGUAGAUCCAUUUUUCUGAUUUGUUUAUGGAGUCUCAGAUUGCCCAUGCUACUUGGUGUUAUUUCGAGCUAAGAAGUGGAUGUUUGCUUUUACUGCAUUGUCCAAAAUACUUGACAACAUUGAUGCAGUUGAGAUCACUUUAGUGGGAUUCGAUCAACUUGAACCUUUGGAUAGGUGACCUAGAAUUGCACGGUAGUCUGAUACAGGGUCAUGCAAAUGAAGUUAUGGAAGAAAUGUGGUGCAAUGGAACGGGCUUGACAAUCUGAUUUCAAGCUCCACUUGGACGUUGGCCAGAUAGAUGAUGAACAGCUAUUCUCCUCAUCCUGCAAGCUCGGUGUGCUUGAGGAUUUCCUGACUCUAGAAAAUCCAUUGGCC